UACGAAGGGGGCUAGCGUUGCUCGGAAUGACUGGGCGUAAAGGGCGCGUAGGCGGUUUGUACAGUCAGAUGUGAAAUUCCUGGGCUCAACCUGGGGGCUGCAUUUGAUACGUAUGGACUGGAGUGAGGAAGAGGGUCGUGGAAUUCCCAGUGUAGAGGUGAAAUUCGUAGAUAUUGGGAAGGACACCGGUGGCGAAGGCGGCGACCUGGUCCUUUACUGACGCUGAGGCGCGAAAGCGUGGGGAGCAAACAGG
rnacentral:rRNA from 1 species